rnacentral:rRNA from 1 species
UAAGGUGGUUAUAGCGACGGGGCUCACCUCUUACCUUUCCGAACAGAGAAGUUAAGCCCGUUUGCGCCGAUGGUACUGCUUACUGUGGAAGAGUAGGUCGCCGCCUUUUUUGAAAGACCCAAUCAUAACGAUUGGGUCUUUUUUUGUUUAUA